rnacentral:rRNA from 1 species
CCUACGGGAGGCAGCAGUGAGGAAUAUUGGUCAAUGGCCGGAAGGCUGAACCAGCCAAGCCGCGUGAAGGACGACGGUGCCAAGCAUUGUAAACUUCUUUUGUCAAGGGACAAACUCAGGCUCGCGAGCCUGUCCGAGGGUACUUGAAGAAAAAGCAUCGGCUAACUCCGUGCCAGCAGCCGCGGUAAUACGGAGGAUGCGAGCGUUAUCCGGAUUUAUUGGGUUUAAAGGGUGCGUAGGCGGGCGGUUAAGUUAGCGGUAAAAGCCCGGGGCUAAACUCCGGCGAGCCGUUGAAACUGGCUGGCUUGAGAUGUCGAGAGGUAGGCGGAAUG